GUCUACAGCCAUGUCACCCUGAGCAGGCCGGAUCCCGUCUAAUCACAGAAGCUAAGCAGGGCCAGGCCUGCUUAGUACUUGGAUGGGAGACCACCUAGGAAGAUCAGGUGCUGUAGGUA
rnacentral:rRNA from 1 species